UGACUCCUCAAGCGAUAAAAUCAUUCAAGUCUUUAAAAGGAACAACAUCAACUUGGAAAAUGCACUGGUCAAGCAUAUGACGGUUCUAAAGUGGUUUCUGGCAAACAUGCUGGAGCGAAUGCAUUAAUAAAAAAAUAUUUUGCACCUUUAGCAAAUUACAUUAAUUGUUUUAAUCACAAAUUAAAUUUAGUAAUAGUAGAUGUAUAAAAUCGAUCCAAUAUGUUUCAGACUACAUAUCGAUUUUACAAAAAUUGUAUUCAUUUAUGAGUUGUUGCACCAUUCAUCCAAAGUGAAUAGAAAUUCAAAAUCUUAAUGAAAUGGAAAUAAUGGAACUAAAAUCCACAUCUGAAACAAAAUAAGUAGGCCAAGCCUCUUUGCUGAAUAUAGUUUGCAGAAGAUUAAAGUGCAUUUAUGUAUUUCUUUACAAAAUGUGCAAUAAUUGCUCUAACAACUCGAACAUAAUAGUGGAUUAAUUUCUCAAUUUAAAACAUCUUUCAUUAGGUCGAUCUUCGUUUUAAGGACAGUAUUUCAGUUAUAUAUAACGACCUCUGAUUUGCUUCAAAAUCUUAAGCAAGAUUAUUCUGAAACUUGAAUCCUUUUGGACACUUUAAAAGAUGAUUUAAUAAAAAUAUGGAAAAAAAUCAUCAUUAAAAAAAGAUGUGGGACAAGCAAAAUUGGUUUUCUAAGAAAUAAAGCUUGAAGAAAAUUUAAAAAAGACCUAAAAAACUAUUAAAAAGACUAGUUGAAUCUUCUGCCAGAAAAGAAGUCAACAAUUAUGAAGUACAUUGCAGCACAAUUCUCGCUGUCAUAAACAAGAUUUUGGCUGAAAUAGACCAGAGAUUCAGCAACGACAACAAGUCCAUUAUAUUAGGCGUGAGAGCUCUCGUUCCCGGAUCUUCGAAUUUUAUAGAGAAGAAAGGCGUCCUUCCUUUCGCUAAGCUGUAUGAAGCAAACAUUGAUAACUUGUCAAUAGAACUGAAAAAUAUGGAAAAUGUUAUGAAUAGAAAGAGCUCCAAUAAACCUGCUAGUUUGUUUCAUUCAUCGCCAAAGCCUUUUUUGAACUCAAUUGCUUAUCAAGAAUUGUUUGUACUGCACCUCAUCAAAAUUUGCCUCUACUGUACCUCAUCAAAAGUUGCCUCUAUUGUUCAUCAAAAGUUGCCUGUACUAUUCCUACAUGCAAAAGUUGCCUGUACUAUUCCUACAUGCAAAAGGAGUUUCUGUACUCUGCAGCUGGUAAAAAAACUGCUUACUAACUACUAUGUUAGAUAAAACAGUAAAAAGCCUAAUGAUAUUUGGAAUUCACAAAAAAAAAAGAUCCAAAAAUCUUGAUUUGGAUACGAUUAUCAAAAUUUUUGAUGUAUUUCCCAACAACAGAAUA